CGUUGAUGCCGUGGUUGGCUGCUAGAACCCCAACAUUUACGAUAAAGAAUUGCUCAACCUCUUCGGAUCAGCAUCGGGAUUCUUCCCUCUGGCCGAGCAACAUUUUUUUUAACCCCGGCUGACAUCGUGAUAGAGAUGGUGUCGUGGAGAUGGACAAAUGAACUCGAGAGACUCGGGUUGUGUUAAACUCGUUCAUUUAAUCCAUAAAAGGAAGAUAAUGUUGUUUGUUCAUUCAAAUUUGUAUUAAGCUUAAAAUUGUGUUUCCUUGUAUUAAAUUACUUCCUACAUUA